rnacentral:rRNA from 1 species
AGCAAUAUGUGGCAUACGGCUCAGUAACACGUAGUCAACAUGCCCAGGGGACGUGGAUAACCUCGGGAAACUGAGGAUAAACCGCGAUAAGUCACUACUUCUGGAAUGGGUAAUGACUUAAAUCUAUAUGGCCCCUGGAUUGGACUGCGGCCGAUCAGGCUGUUGGUGAGGUAAUGGCCCACCAAACCUGUAACCGGUACGGGCUCUGAGAGGAGGAGCCCGGAGAUGAGCACUGAGACAAGGGCCCAGGCCCUAUGGGGCGCAGCAGGCGCGAAACCUCUGCAAUAGGCGAAAGCCUGACAGGGUUACUCUGAGUGAUUUCCGUUAAGGAGAUCUUUUGGCACCUCUAAAAAUGGUGCAGAAUAAGGGGUGGGCAAGUCUGGUGUCAGCCGCCGCGGUAAUACCAGCACCCCGAGUGGUCGGGACGUUUAUUGGGCCUAAAGCAUCCGUAGCCGGUUCUGCAAGUCUUCCGUUAAAUCCACCUGCUUAACAGAUGGGCUGCGGAAGAUACUAUAGAGCUAGGAGGCGGGAGAGGCAAGCGGUACUCGAUGGGUAGGGGUAAAAUCCGUUGAUCCAUUGAAGACCACCAGUGGCGAAGGCGGCUUGCCAGAACGCGCUCGACGGUGAGGGAUGAAAGCUGGGGGAGCAAACCGGAUUAGAUACCCGGGUAGUCCCAGCUGUAAACGAUGCAGACUCGGUGAUGAAUUGGCUUCAUGCCAAUUCAGUGCCGCAGGGAAGCCGUUAAGUUUGCCGCCUGGGGAGUACGGUCGCAAGACCGAAACUUAAAGGAAUUGGCGGGGGAGCACCACAAGGGGUGAAGCCUGCGGUUCAAUUGGAUUCAACGCCGGA